rnacentral:lncRNA from 10 species
GCUUGCACUGCUCCCGCCAUGGAGCUCAGAUCAUGCCCUGGAGAAGCAGGUGACAUCGCGGAAUUUUCCUGUUCCAGAUGCCAGAAGUCUGAAAUGAAGGUGUAAAGCAGGGUGGUUCCUUCUGGAGGCUCUGAGAGAAUCACCCCAGGCCUCUCUCCAGCUUCUGGUGCUGGUAUUCUCAGGCUUGUAGGCGCAUCACCCAUGUCUGCCUCCAUCUUCACAUGGCCUUCUCCUCUGUGUCUGCCUGAAGUCUCCCUUCAUUUCUCUUUGCUGGCUUGUGUUUGACACCAUGCCUGACACAUUGGGGGUGCUCAGUAGACCUGUGUGAGAUGGACAGCCUCCCGUACAGAUGGACGGACAGAUGUACAGCCCCGUGGAGAUGCCCUGUGUAAGCCACUGAAGCCUCUGGCCAACAGCAGUGGGAACCUGAGACGUGUCCACAAGCAUGCAUGGGAGCUUGGAAGUGGAUCCUUCAGCCCCAGCCAAGCCUUCAGACGAUGCAGCCUCAGGGACAGUAUGACUGCAGCCUCAUGAGACCCUGAGCCAGAAACACCCCUCCAAGCCACUCCCAGAUGCCUGGCCCUCAGAACCUGGGAGGUAAUAAAUAUUUAUGGCUGUUUGAAGCUGCUGUAUCGGGGGACAAUUUGUUACACAGUAAUAGCUAACUGGUGCAGUCCUGGGACUCUUAGCAGUUUGGAGUAUCAGUUAUUUUGCCAAGGCGGGGAAGUUAACAGUGGUCAUUGCAGCAGCUGCACUUGGGGACCACAAUAAAGAAGCUUUCUCAGACUGGUUUGAACAAAGUGGUGAAUUCUCUGCAAGGACACAGAGGUGUCUCUCAAAACCCAAGGAUGGGACAGCAGGCCUCAAGAAGAACUGGAACCUCUGUCCCUUCUGUGCUUCUUUUUACUCCUGUGUUCUCUGCUUCUUGGAGCACUUGGCAGUUGGGAAGUGGCCAUUUCAAUUCUCGUGGUCAAGAAACCAGCUCAGAAAUAACCCAACCAACACAGGUGGGGUCAGGUGUCCAUCCUGGCUCCAUUUGUCAUGGCGGGAGAUGGUGAUGAAGAGAAACAUCCAGGACCAUUGGUAGGGCACCCGAAUGAGAUUCCAGGAGAGGCCAGUUCUAAGAGAAGGGUACUAGAAAGAUACCCAUUGAAGUCAAUACCACAUGUGGCACAUCCUCCUUUCAGGUGGCAAGUGUGUAGCCAAAGCAAGGUUCAGGGUCCAUAUUUGAAAGUCAGAAACUGAAUAAACUGUUUUCUCCCACCCCGAGCACUGUGGGGAACUCUGCUCACAAAUCCACCAUCCACCAUCACCAGCCGUGCUCAUCUGACCAUUCAUGCAGGCUCACACUUGACCUGAUGUGGGUUCUGUCUCCUUUGCUUGAGAAUUGAAAGGCCUGGGAGAUGCAAAAGCUUUAGGCUCCAGCCAUCUCCCCAUGUCAGGUAGGCCUUUUGCCUAGUGUAUCCAGUUGGUAAUGCUGCAGAGAUGCAUGAAGCUGGAGUCAGAGGCCACCUGUAGUGCUGCCCUGACUUCAGACCUGAGCCCAGCCCAGCAGCAGAGAGGGGGCUGGGAGCCAGAGGAGGCCUCACAGUAACAGCACAGACAGGUGGGGGCCCACAACAGGCCACAUGUGUUCAAACUCGAGUGUGGGCAGAGGAGCAUGGGAAGCUCAGAGCCCUGAGCUCACCCCACACCCAACACGAGUGGGGUCACCCAAAAUCAGCCUGUCAGCACUGUCCCAGCAGCCAGUCGCAUGCUACAUUAACAAAUUUUGCACAGGCCAGCAAGCAGGAUCGCUCACCAGCCACCCUCCUGAACUGGCCUAUGGGGCCCCAGGAUGAUGCCAUAGCCACAAGUCUGGAGUUCCUCAAAGUACCUGGUCAGCACAACUCAGUUAAACAAUGGGCAAAAGACCUGAACAGACACUUCGCCAGAGAAGAUGUACAGAUGCAAGUAAGCAUUUGAAAAGGUGCCCCACAUCGUAUGUCGUUAGGGAAUGGUCCAAUCCAGAACACUGAUGGCACCAAAGGCUGCUGAGCAUGUGGAGCAGCAGAACUCUCAUUCACUGCUGGUGAGAAAAAUGGCGCAGCCCCAAUAGGGAACCCUAAUGCAGACUCUGGACUUCACUGGAAAUGACGUGUCAGUGUAGCUGCGUCAGUUGUAACAAAUGCACCAGUCUGGUGGGCGUGUUGAUAACCGGGGCUGCGCACGUGGGGAGAGAGGACCUGUGGGAAUGCUCUACUUUCCACUCAUUUUUGCUGUGAACUUAAAACUGCUCUUACAAAAUAACAUUGUUUGUUGUUGUUGUUGUUGUUGUUGUUGUUGUUGUUUUUAAGUAUCUAGUCAGCUCCACACAUGACCCGGGCAGAGUGGGAAGUUGUAGAGUGCCCCAAGGAGAGAAAUGGAACCAGGUCUCAUGUGGGGCCAAGUGUGGGCUCCCUGUCCUCUCAGCUGGUCCCAGGAACUGAAGGGAAAUUUAGACAACUUGGAGAAAGACACUCUAGGGCUCGGGGCAAAGGGUGGUGUUGAUGAGAACCAUAUUUUUUUAUUGCUGGUGUAAGCACUUGUAUUUUUCUGAUUUUCCACUGGUUCGAUAAUAAGGGUAAAAGACAAUAAAGCAUACUUUUUAAGCUUUUGUUUAGAAGUUUUUUUUCCAAUAAAACUUCCCCAAAA